GACGAAGGAUCCAAGCGUUAUCCGGAUUUAUUGGGUUUAAAGGGCGCGUAGGCGGCCUUCUAAGUCGGACGUGAAAGCCCCAGGCUUAACCUGGGAACUGCGUCCGAUACUGGGAGGCUUGGAUUCGGGAGAGGGAUGUGGAAUUCCAGGUGUAGCGGUGAAAUGCGUAGAUAUCUGGAGGAACACCGGUGGCGAAGGCGGCAUCCUGGACUGGUCCUGACACUCAUGAGCGAAAGCGUGGGGAGCGAUCCGG
rnacentral:rRNA from 1 species